rnacentral:lncRNA from 1 species
GUUUUGAAAUGGCUGCCGCUUAGUGGCAAUGGGGGAAGGGUGACAUCCGCUAUUGCUUGCAAUGGCAAUUCUAGUUAUUAUGGCACCCUCAACGGAGUUGGGGUGACAUAUUGUUAUUGUUCUAUUUUCUAUUUUUUCUCGUUAUUAUGGUCAACGGAGUUGGGGUGACGUAUUGUUAUUCUACGUUUCUUUUUUUUCUUAUUUUUCUUCCACACAUUUUGUCCGGCGAGUUCUUGGAAUCCAAUGGACCAAUGUUGAUGGAACUCUACUAUAAUGAAGACCCCCAUGUGAAGUUGUGCACCUUGAUAUGGAAUGGUAAAAAAUGGCCGCCGUUUCCAUGGAAACAGCAAAAAUACGAAAAAAAUCAAAGUGCUCCAAACUGGAAGAAACUCCACAGGAUUGGUAACUGGCAUGUGCUGAUUUGCAGUUUGACUUUAGAAUUUUCAAAAUGGCCGCCGUUACCAUGGAAACAGCAAAAAUAUAUAAAAUUUCAAAAUGCUUCAAACUUAAUGAAACUUUCAAAAAUUGUUACUAAACAUCUGUAGAUGCACUAUUUAACUUUGGAAUUUUCAAAAUGGCUGCCGCUCACCUGGCAAUAAGGGGAAGGGUGCCAUCCGUUAUUGCUAGCAAUUACAAAUCUAGUUAUUAUGUCACCCGAUCGACAAUGUCGGGUGACAUAUUGUUUUCCUCUGUUUCUUUUUUAUUAUUAUGUCACCCGAUCGACAAUGUCGGGUGACAUAUUGCUAUUCCUCUGUUUCUUUUUCACUAUUAUUAUUAUUAUUAUUUUUCUUCCACCUAGUUUUGUCCGGCAGUUUUCUCAGAGCCAAAGGAACCAAUCUGAAUGAUGGUGCACUAUAACAAGGAACCCUGACUUUCCAGUUGCAGUGCAACUUUGGAACUAAAAAAAUGGCUGCCAUCACCAUGGAAACCGAAAAAUAAUGAAAAAUUCCAGUUUUUGGUUUUGGUGAAUUAUUUGGAGAAUGCUUUAACUUAGAAUCAUUAUAUUUUGAUACAAUGUAGGUGCCCACUAUAUACUGGUUUGGGAUGAUUUUGGCAAUCAUUGGAACUGCUAUGUUGCCAUGGAUACUACACCAAAAAUUUCCAAAAUAUGGAAAUGCUCCAAAUUUUAAUGAAACUUCACAGUAACGAUGAGCAACAUUGGUAGAUGUGGAAUUUGGCGUUGGAAUUUCCAAAAUGUCUGCCGUUACCAUGGAAACAAUGCAAAAAUGGUCAAAAUGGUCCAAAAACCUUAAAAGUGGCAUUUACUUUCUUAAAAUGGUAGGUCAAAUCCAUUGAAACUCUGAUGGUAUGUUCCCUCCCAUGUACCAAUGUGGUAUCUGCCAUUAAAAUUUUGGAAUGGUCUGUGUAACCAUAGAAACCAGCCAAAAUGUCAAAAAUUUCAAAAAUUUCAAAAUGCUCAAAAUUGAUGAAACUUAAUAUGAUUGUUGACUGUCAAGUCUGCAUGAGACUUUUGAAGUUGGAAUUUCCAAAAUGGCUACCGUUGCCAUGGAAACUGCAAAAAUGUCAAAUAUUUUCAAAAUGCUCCAAACUUAAUGAAACUUAAUAUUAUUGUAAACUGGCAUGUAUAGAUGAGACUUUUGACUUUGAAAUUUUCAAAAUGGCUGCCGUUGCCAUGGAAACAGCAAAAAUGUCAUGUUUUUAAAAAUGCUCUAAAUGUACUGAAAAUUUACAGAAAAUGUAUAGCCAUGCAAAUAUGUGCAUUCACUGUUAAAAGUUUUUGAAAUGGCUGCCGCUUAGUGGCAAUGGGGGGAAGGGUGACAUCCGCUAUUGCUUGCAAUGGCAAUUCUAGUUAUUAUUAUUUUUCUUCCACCUAAUUUUGUCCGCCCGCUUUCUCAGAGCCAAAGGAACCAAUCUGAAUGAUGGUGCACUAUAACAAGGAACCCUGACUUUCCUGUUGCUUUUCAAUAUUGGAACUAAAAAAAAUGGCUGCCAUCACCAUGGAAACGGAAAAAUGGUGAAAAAAUAUAAUUUUGGAGUUAGGUGAAUUGUUUGAGAAUGCUUAACCUUAAAAUCUUUAGAUUUUAAUACAAUGUAGGUGCCCACUAUAUACUGCUUUGGGAUGAUUUUGGCAAUCAUUGGAACUGCUAUGUUGCCAUGGAUACUACACCAAAAAUUUCAAAAAUAUGAAAAUGCUCCAAAUUUUUUGAAAUUCUAGCAUAACGAUGAGCAACUUUGGUAGAUGUGGAAUUUGGCGUUGGAAUUUCCAAAAUGUCUGCCGUUACCAUGGAAACAAUGCAAAAAGGUCAAAAUGCUCCAAAAACUUCAGGGUUUGGUGAAUAACUUUGGUAUGCUUGAACUUAAAAUCAUCAAAUUUUUAUACAAUAUAGUUGUCCACUAUAUACAGGUUUUGAAUGAUUAUGACAAUCAUUGGAACUACUCUGUUACCAUGGAUACAGGAUCAAAUAUUUCAAAAAUUUCAAAAUGCUCCAAAAUUGAUGAAACUUAAUAUGAUUGUUGACUGUCAAGUCUGCAUGAGACUUUUGAAGUUGGAAUUUCCAAAAUGGCCACCGUUGCCAUGGAAACUGCAAAAAUGUCAAAAAUUCUCAAAAUGCUUUGAACUUAAUGAAACUUGAUAUUAUUGUUAACUGGCAAGUAAGAUGAGACUUUUGACUUUGAAAUUUUCAAAAUGGCUGCCGUUGCCAUGGAAACAGCAGAAAUGUGAAAUUUUUAAAAAUGCUCUGAAUGUACUGAAAAUUUACAGAAAAAUGUAUUGCCAUGCAUAUAUGUGCAUUCACUGUUAAACAUUUUUGAAAUGGCUGCCGCUUAGUGGCAAUUGGGGGAAGGGUGACAUCCGCUAUUGCUUGCAAUGGCAAUUCUAGUUAUUUUUAUUCUUCCACACUUUUUUGUCCAUUCUAUUUCUCGGAAUUGGCUUGAACAAUAUUGAUGGAACUAUACCAUAAUGUAGACCACCACAUUCUAUAGUGCAGUGGGGUAUGGCACCAUCAAGAUGGCUGCCGUUGCCAUGGAAACGAAACAAAUGUGAAAAAAUCCUGUUUUUUGUUUUGGUGAACUGUUUUGAUAUGCUUAAACUCAGAACCAUUAUAUUUUGAUACAAUGUAGGUGCCGGCCAUAUACAGGUGUUGGAUGAUUUUGGCACUCAUUGGAACUACUAUGUUGCCAUGGAAACUACACCAAAAAUUUCAAAAAUAUCAAAAUGCUCCAAACUUCAUGAAACUUCACAGUAACGAUGAGCAACAUUGGAAGAUGUGGAAUUUGGCGUUGGAAUUUCCAAAAUAUCUGUUGUUACCAUGGAAACAAUGCAAAAAGGUCAAAAAUUUCAAAAAAAAAUAAAAAUGCUGUAAACUGGAUGAAACUUUACAGGAAUGGUCACUGGCAUAAGCAAAGUUGACAUUUGAAGUUGGAAUUUUCAAAAUGGCCGCCGUAACCAUGGAAACAGCAAAAAUGUCAAAAACUUCAAAAUGCUCCAAACUUAAUGAAACUUAACAAAUAUGAUAAUUUGAAUGUGUAGAUGCACACUUUGACUUUGGAAUUUUCUAGAUGGCUGCCGCUCGCCUGGCAAUGGGGAAGGGUGCCAUCCGCUAUUGCUUGCAAUGGCAAAUCUAGUUAUGGCACCCUCAACGGAUGUUGGGGUGACAUAUUGUUAUUCUACGUUUCUUUUUUUUCUUAUUAUGGCACCCUCAACGGAGUUGGGGUGACAUAUUGUUAUUGUUCGUUUAUCAUUAUUAUUAUGUCAC